GCGGGUGUAGCUCAGGGGUUAGAGCGCCUGACUGUGGCUCAGGAGGCCGUGGGUUCAAUUCUCAUCAUCCGCCCCA
rnacentral:tRNA from 1 species